AUGGAUCUGGAUGCAACUGCUCUCGCCGGUCGCGGCCCGUGCUCGCGCUCGCCGUCGCCGAUGGGGAGCGCCUCGCGUGUGGCGGAGGGGCUUGAGCGCGUGGAUGUCCCUGGCGGUGGCUGCCGAAGUACGAGGUGCGGCUCCCCAUGGCGUUGGCUUCGAGCGCGGCCAUGGCGGCGGCCUCGAGUACGGCACCACACGCGCCAGCUCCUUCUCCGGGGUGUGCUCUGCCUCCUGCGGGGGCGCUGGCGACGCUGCCUCCGACCGGCGCUUCGACCUCAUCUUCGAGGCCAACGGUGCGCGGCGAGCUUGUGCUUCACGGGGCCAACCUCCGCGUCGAGGAGUUGCUCUCCAUGA
rnacentral:rRNA from 1 species